UACGAAGGGGACUAGCGUUGUUCGGAAUCACUGGGCGUAAAGCGCACGUAGGCGGAAUUGUAAGUCAGGGGUGAAAUCCCGGGGCUCAACCUCGGAACUGCCUUUGAUACUGUUGGUCUCGAAUCCGGUAGAGGUGGGUGGAAUUCCUAGUGUAGAGGUGAAAUUCGUAGAUAUUAGGAAGAACACCAGUGGCGAAGGCGGCUCACUGGUCCGGUACUGACGCUGAGGUGCGAAAGCGUGGGGAGCAAACAGG
rnacentral:rRNA from 1 species